rnacentral:lncRNA from 1 species
GCGAUACCAAAUGGUAGCUUUAGCCAAUGCUGGGUUCCGUACCCUUGCACCCGAUUACAGAGGUUACGGACUAUCCGACAUACCACCCGAACCCGAAAAGACAACCUUUGCCGACCUCGUUGCCGACCUUGUUGCUAUCUUAGAUCACCUGGGAAUUAAUAAGGUUCGAAUGAGUUAGGGUUUAUAAACUUGUAUAUGCACACCAUGUUGCUGUUGUUUGCUUGAGUGAAAAUGUGCAUCAUUGGUUCUUUACCUUUCGUUGCUUUGUUCUAUGUUUAUGUGCGUAGGUUUUCGUUGUUGCAAAGGAUUUUGGGGUCAGACCUGCUUAUCUGUUAACUCUGCUUCAUCCCCAUCGAGUGUCGUGUGUUGUAACAUUGGGUGUCCCACAUGUUCCUUUGGAACCUCGGAAGUAUCGAGAGUCUCUCCCGGAAGGCUUCUACAUUUCAAGAUGGAAUGUAUGUUUUGGAUUACUUAUUGUUGAAAUGUACUGUUUUUAUUUGGUUUGGAUUUCCUGCAGGAACCUGGACGAGCGGAGGCUGAUUUCGGACGAUUCGAUGCUAAAACCGUUGUGAGGAACAUCUACAUACUGUUCUCGAGAAGUGAAAUACCAAUCGCAGAUGAAAAACAGGAGGUCAUGGAUAUGGUGGAUGC